rnacentral:rRNA from 1 species
AUUUAAUUCUAGUGGCGGACGGGUGAGUAACGCGUGGGUAACCUGCCUUAUACAGGGGGAUAACAGUCAGAAAUGGCUGCUAAUACCGCAUAAGCGCACAGAGCUGCAUGGCUCAGUGUGAAAAACUCCGGUGGUAUAAGAUGGACCCGCGUUGGAUUAGCUAGUUGGUGGGGUAACGGCCCACCAAGGCGACGAUCCAUAGCCGGCCUGAGAGGGUGAACGGCCACAUUGGGACUGAGACACGGCCCAGACUCCUACGGGAGGCAGCAGUGGGGAAUAUUGCACAAUGGGGGAAACCCUGAUGCAGCGACGCCGCGUGAAGGAAGAAGUAUCUCGGUAUGUAAACUUCUAUCAGCAGGGAAGAUAGUGACGGUACCUGACUAAGAAGCCCCGGCUAACUACGUGCCAGCAGCCGCGGUAAUACGUAGGGGGCAAGCGUUAUCCGGAUUUACUGGGUGUAAAGGGAGCGUAGACGGUGUGGCAAGUCUGAUGUGAAAGGCAUGGGCUCAACCUGUGGACUGCAUUGGAAACUGUCAUACUUGAGUGCCGGAGGGGUAAGCGGAAUUCCUAGUGUAGCGGUGAAAUGCGUAGAUAUUAGGA